rnacentral:rRNA from 1 species
CCUACGGGGGGCUGCAGUGGGGAAUAUUGGACAAUGGGGGCAACCCUGAUCCAGCCAUGCCGCGUGUGUGAAGAAGGCCCUCGGGUUGUAAAGCACUUUCAGUGAGGAAGAACGCCUGGUGGUGAAUACCCAUCAGGAAAGACAUCACUCACAGAAGAAGCACCGGCUAACUCCGUGCCAGCAGCCGCGGUAAUACGGAGGGUGCGAGCGUUAAUCGGAAUUACUGGGCGUAAAGCGCGCGUAGGUGGCUUGAUAAGCCGGUUGUGAAAGCCCCGGGCUCAACCUGGGAACGGCAUCCGGAACUGUCAAGCUAGAGUGCAGGAGAGGAAGGUAGAAUUCCCGGUGUAGCGGUGAAAUGCGUAGAGAUCGGGAGGAAUACCAGUGGCGAAGGCGGCCUUCUGGACUGACACUGACACUGAGGUGCGAAAGCGUGGGUAGCAAACAGGAUUAGAUACCCCGGUAGUC